rnacentral:rRNA from 1 species
CCUACGGGGGGCAGCAGUAGGGAAUCUUUCACAAUGGGCGAAAGCCUGAUGGAGCAACGCCGCGUGCAGGAUGAAGGCCUUCGGGUUGUAAACUGCUUUUAUAAGCGAGAAAUAUGAUGGUAACUUAUGAAUAAGGAUCGGCUAACUACGUGCCAGCAGCCGCGGUCAUACGUAGGAUCCGAGCAUUAUCCGGAGUGACUGGGUGUAAAGAGUUGCGUAGGUGGCAUAAUAAGUAGCUAGUGAAAUCUGGUGGCUCAACCAUUCAGACUAUUAGCUAAACUGUUAAGCUCGAGACCGUUAGGGGUAACUGGAAUUUCGAGUGUAGGAGUGAAAUCCGUAGAUAUUAGAAGGAACACCAAUAGCGUAGGCAGGUUGCUGGGACGGUUCUGACACUAAGGCACGAAAGCGUAGGGAGCAAACGGGAUUAGAUACCCCUGUAGUC